GUGUUUGCUUUGGCAGCACGUACACUAAAAUUGGAAGAAUACAGAGAACAUUAGCGUGGCCCUGUGCAAGGAUAACACACAAAUUCAUGAAGCGUUCCAUAUUUUU
ensembl:snRNA U6 U6 spliceosomal RNA